rnacentral:lncRNA from 1 species
UGCCUAAUAUGGACCCUCGGCGAUGCCCUCAUGUCAAUAAUCUACUAUCCGAGCCCUUCUGUUAGAAUGGAGCUGGCGGAGGAGAUGAUGAUGGAUCCAAUAUGCCAUGAAAUGACUCAUUUGAUCAAGGACGUCGAAUGCAAAGGAAUGCUACCCGUGCCUGGUUUGGAAUGCAGAUUUAAGUGAAACGAAAGCUAGCUUGUGCACAAGCUGUGGACUGUAACCUAAGAGAAAUGCCCUUUGGACUAUUUCAUCGUUCAAUGUAUUUCCUUUUUAAUGCCACAGCUAUAGCUUAUGCCUAGCAUAGCCACAGUUUCUGGCUGCAUUGCCUCAAUAUGCUACCAAGACUUACACACAACGAUACGUAUAAAUUAAAUCAAGUUAAUGUAGUAGUACACUGGUAUUCUGCACUAGAAUUAUCUUCUCGUAAAAAUACAUUUACACUCCGCCGCACCGAACCCUUUCCGAGAAAUCAAUUUUCAUAUAACACGUUUCUUUUAUAAAAUCCUUAUAUUUAGCAUAUUAGUAACAAAAAUUUAUCCAUCUCAACAAUAAGCUUGCUGUUUUUUUAAAUGGGGGCUUUUCAAGUACUUUCUUGUGUAUACACGCGUAGUAGGUUUGUCUAUUGUCUGAAUAUGUUUGGUUAGAUCACUCCUAAGACCAGGCUAGACCGUGCCCCGUCCAUUUAUUUCAUGUUCAAUUACGAAAUAAUAAGUGAGUAUACUGUUCUGUCCACCACGAUUGUAGAACGUGUAUAGCCGGCUAUGCGUAUGUCUGCGUAAAUGCUUUACGCGGAAUAAAGUGUCACAAAUAAAAUACAGUAGGCGUAUAAUUUA